rnacentral:rRNA from 1 species
UACGAAGGGUGCAAGCGUUACUCGGAAUUACUGGGCGUAAAGCGUGCGUAGGUGGUUCGUUAAGUCUGAUGUGAAAGCCCUGGGCUCAACCUGGGAAUGGCAUUGGAUACUGGCGACCUAGAGUGCGGUAGAGGGGUGUGGAAUUCCCGGUGUAGCAGUGAAAUGCGUAGAUAUCGGGAGGAACAUCGGUGGCGAAGGCGGCCAUCUGGACCGGAACUGACGCUGAGGCGCGAAAGCCAGGGGAGCGAAUGGG